CUCUAACUAUUUAGUUUUCAGAAUCCGACAUUUGGGGAUAGAAAUGUUUCGUCUUUUCUCUCUCUCUCUCUCUAGGGCUACUAGACUGUAGCCUUCUGGAUUAACUUGUGUUUAUCUUGUUAUUAGGUUCUCGGUGGAGUGAUCAUGCUAACUUCAUUCAUUUUUAGGGUUUUGAUUGUUACAAGACCCUAGAAUUGAAUAAGCAAGAGAUUGAGCAGUUGCGUUUCUGGUGCCAAUAUUGGAUUCUAUUUGGAUUGUUGAGAGAAUUGGGAGUAUUUGCUGAUAUACUCUUCUCAUGGUUACCAUUCUAUUAUGGAGCAAAGCUUGGCGCUUUCCUGUAUUUGU